rnacentral:rRNA from 1 species
UACGUAGGAGACGAGCGUUGUCCGGAAUUACUGGGCGUAAAGCGCGUGUAGGCGGAUGAGCAAGUCUGCUGUGAAAGCUCCUGGCUUAACCGGGAGUGGUCGGUGGAAACUGCUCGUCUGGAGGACGGUAGAGGCUGGUGGAAUUCCCGGUGUAGUGGUGAAAUGCGUAGAGAUCGGGAGGAACACCUGUGGCGAAGGCGGCCAGCUGGGCCGGGCCUGACGCUGAGACGCGAAGGCGUGGGGAGCGAACGGG